rnacentral:lncRNA from 1 species
UCUUCCGUGCAGGCAGGCUCUCCUGGGGACCUCAGAGAUUCUCUCCAGCGGCAGCAGAAAACGGGCAAUGGGUGGAUUCGGGUCCAGAUUCUGGCAGGAGGGAGUUUGGGAUCGAGAUCUGGAAAAAAGCACUAGACUGGAAGAGGACGCGAUGGAGUCGGAGCCGCUGGCGGGUACAAAAACCAGAGGCCGGGGAAGGCGCCGGUGGGAGGCAAGGCACGGAUGGACUUUACCUGCGCACGCGUCGCAGCCAUCUCCGCGCACAGUGGUGGCCACCGCGACUGGUGCUGAAGUGUCGGCGUGUGCCGGGCGCUCCGCUGGGACCCGGGUUGCUCGCCCUGAGUCUCAGCUUUCUCAUCUGUACGGUUGGGACAAGUACAGUAACCCUCGCCCGUCAAGACGGGCCAGGGCUGUGGCGAGGGUCCACGCCUUAGAGCAGGCACCUAUCUUGUGCAGGGCCCUGAGAUGGGGUCUGACUCAGUUCCUGCGGGGAACUUCACCAGUGACCCAGUCAGUGCCCUUCAGUUAAAGACCACCAGGAGCACACUUAUAUCAUGGAAAUCAGGACAGUGGCAGUUCGGAUUGUGGCAAUCAAAGGGGUGGAAAGUGAAUUCUAUCUUGCAAUGAACGAGGAAGGAAAACUCUAUGCAAAGAAAGAAUGCAAUGAAGAUUGUAACUUCAAAGAACUAAUUCUGGAAAACCAUUACAACACAUAUGCAGCAGCUAAAUGGACACACAAUGGAGGGGAAAUGUUUGUUGCCUUAAAUCAAAAGGGGAUUCCUGUAAGAGGAAAAAAAACGAAGAAAGAACAAAAAACAGCCCACUUUCUUCCUAUGGCAAUAACUUAAUUGCAUAUGGUAUAUAAAGAACCAGUUCCAGUAGGGAGAUUUCUUUAAGUGGACUGUUUUCUUUCUUCUCAAAAUUUUCUUUCCUUUUAUUUUUUAGUAAUCAAGAAAGGCUGGAAAACUACUGAAAAACUGAUCAAGCUUGACUUGUGCAUUUAUGUUUGUUUUAAGACACUGCAUUAAAGAAAGAUUUGAAAAGUAUACACAAAAAUCAGAUUUAGUAACUAAAGGUUGUACAAAAUUGUAAAACUGGUUGUACAAUCAUGAUGUUAGUAAUAGUAAUUUUUUUCUUAAAUUAAUUUACCCUUAAGAGUAUGUUAGAUUUGAUUAUCUGAUAAUGAUUAUUUAAAUAUUCCUAUCUGCUUAUAAAAUGGCUGCUAUAAUAAUAAUAAUGCAGAUGAUGUUAUAUAAGGUGUAUCAGACCUACAGGCUGCUGGCAGGAUUUGUCAGAUAAUCAAGCCACACUAACUAUAGAAAAUGAGCAGCAUUUUAAAUGCUUUCUAGUGAAAAAUUAUAAUCUACUUAAACUCUAAUCAGAAAAAAAGAAUAUUCUCAAAAAAAUCUAUUACGAAAGUCAAUAAAAUAGAUAAUUUAACAAAAGUACAGGAUUAGAACAUGCUUAUACCUAUUAACAAGAACAAAAUUUCUAAUGCUGCUCAAGUGGAAAGGGUAUUGCUAAAAGGAUGUUUCCAAAAAUCUUGUAUAUAAGAUAGCAACAGUGAUUGAUGAUAAUACUGUACUUCAUCUUACUUGCCACAAAAUAACAUUUUAUAAUUUCUCAAAGUAAAAUUGAGAAAUCUUUAAGUUUUUUUCAAGUAACAUAAUCUAUCUUUGUAUAAUUCGUAUUUGGGAAUAUGGCUUUUAAUAAUGUUCUUCCCACAAAUAAUCAUGCUUUUUUCCUAUGGUUACAGCAUUAAACUAAAAACCUUAAUAAGCUGUAUCUGUUUCAUAUGCUUUUAAUUUUAAAGGAAUAACAAAACUGUCUGGCUCAACUGCAAGUUUCCCUCCCCUCUGUGACCGAGACUAAGUCUAGCACACAGCACUUGGGCCAGCAAAUCCUGGAAGGCAGACAAAAAUGAGAACCUGAAGCAAUGCUUACAGUAGAUGUCUCACACAGAACAAUACAAACAUGUAAAAAAUCUUUCACCACAUAUUCUUGCCAAUUAAUUGGAUCAUAUAAGUAAAAUCAUUACAAAUAUAAGUAUUUACAGGAUUUAAAAGUUAGAAUAUAUUUGAAUGCAUAGGUAGAAAAGUAUCAUAUUUUAAAACUAUGUAUAUUUAAAUUUAGUAAUUUUCUAAUCUCUAGAAAUCUCUGCUGUUCAAAAGGUGGCAGCACUGAAAGUUGUUUUCCUGUUAGAUGGCAAGAGCACAAUGCCCAAAACAGAAGAUACAGUUAGGAAUAAGGGGCCUUGAAUGUCAUGAAGGCUUGAGGUCAGCUUACAGAUAACAGGAUUAUUAAAAAGAUGAAUUUCCACUUCCAAAGUCUUUCAUUGGCAGAUCUUGGUAGCACUUUAUAUGUUCACCAAUGGGAGGUCAACAUUUAUCUAAUUUAAAAGCUAUGCUAACCAUUGUGGUUUUAAUUUCAAAAUAUUUGUCAUUCAAGUCCCUUUACAUAAAUAGUAUUUGGUAAUACAUUUAUAGAUGAGGCUUAUAUGAAAAGGCUAGGUCAACAAACCAAUAGAUUCAUUUAAUUUUCCUGUGGUUGACCUAUACGACCAGGAUGUAGAAAACUAGAAAGAACUGCCCUUCCUCAGAUAUACUCUUGGGAGAGAGCAUGAAUGGUAUUCUGAACUAUCACCUGAUUCAAGGACUUUGUUAGCUAGGUUUUGAGGUCAGGCUUCAGUAACUGUAGUCUUGUGAGCAUAUUGAGGGCAGAGGAGGACUUAGUUUUUCAUAUGUGUUUCCUUAGUGCCUAGCAGACUAUCUGUUCAUAAUCAGUUUUCAGUGUGAAUUCACUGAAUGUUUAUAGACAAAAGAAAAUACAUAAUAAAACUAAUCUUCAUUUUAAAAGGGUAAAACAUGACUACACAGAAAUUUAAAUAGAAAUAGUGUAUAUACAUAUAAAAUACAAGCUAUGUUAGGACCAAAUCUCUUUGUCUAUGGAGUUAUACUUCCAUCAAAUUACAUAGCAAUGCUGAAUUAGGCAAAACCAAUAUUUAGUGGUAAAUCCAUUCCUGGUAGUAUAAGUCACCUAAAAAAGACUUCCAGAAAUAUGUACUUUAAUUAUUAGUUUUUCUCCUAUUUUAAAAUUUAUUAUGCAAAUUUUAGAAAAUAAAAUUUGCUCCAGUUACACCCACUUAGAAUUCCAGAAUCUUAAAACUGUAAGGGGCCUCCAUCCCUCUUACUCAUUUGUAGUCUAGGAAAUCGAGAUUUUGAUACACCUAAGGUCAAGCAGCUGAGUAGAUAUACAACUGUCACAAGAGUCUAGAUCAGUUGGCACAUGCUUUCUAUACUAGAUUAUUAGUAUUAUUAGCUAAUGGUCUUCUGCAUUUUUUUGUUUUUUUAUUUCUAUUGAGAUAUAGCCUUUACAUUUGUACACAAAUGUGACUAUGUCUUGGCAAUGCACUUCAUACACAAUGACUAAUCUAUACUGUGAUGAUUUGACUCAAAAGGAGAAAAGAAAUUAUGUAGUUUUCAAUUCUGAUUCCUAUUCACCUUUUGUUUAUGAAUGGAAAGCUUUGUGCAAAAUAUACAUAUAAGCAGAGUAAGCCUUUUAAAAAUGUUCUUUGAAAGAUAAAAUUAAAUACAUGAGUUUCUAACAAUUAG